UACGGAGGAUGCGAGCGUUAUCCGGAUUUAUUGGGUUUAAAGGGUGCGCAGGCGGAACUGUAAGUCAGUGGUGAAAUACCCGCGCUCAACGUGGGCCGUGCCAUUGAUACUGCAAUUCUGGAGUACUGUUGCCGUGGGAGGAAUGGGUAGUGUAGCGGUGAAAUGCAUAGAUAUUACCCAGAACACCGAUUGCGAAGGCAUCUCACGAAUCAGUCACUGACGCUGAGGCACGAAAGCGUGGGGAUCGAAC
rnacentral:rRNA from 1 species